GACGAACGCUGGCGGCGUGCCUAAUACAUGCAAGUCGAGCGAAGUUUUUCUGGUGCUUGCACCGGAAAAACUUAGCGGCGAACGGGUGAGUAACACGUAAAGAACCUGCCUCAUAGACUGGGACAACUAUUGGAAACGAUAGCUAAUACCGGAUAACAGCAUUAACUGCAUGGUUGAUGUUUGAAAGUUGGUUUUGCUAACACUAUGAGAUGGCUUUGCGGUGCAUUAGCUAGUUGGUGGGGUAAAGGCCUACCAAGGCGACGAUGCAUAGCCGACCUGAGAGGGUGAUCGGCCACACUGGGACUGAGACACGGCCCAGACUCCUACGGGAGGCAGCAGUAGGGAAUCUUCCGCAAUGGGCGAAAGCCUGACGGAGCAACGCCGCGUGAGUGAAGAAGGAUUUCGGUUCGUAAAGCUCUGUUGUUAGGGAAGAAUGAUUAUGUAGUAGCUAUACAUAGUAGAGACGGUACCUAACCAGAAAGCCACGGCUAACUACGUG
rnacentral:rRNA from 1 species